GCAUAUCAUGCAUAUGUAACAGCGUAGAUACGAGGAAAAGAAAUGGGACUGGUGAAUUUGUUAUCAAUUCAAAAGCUGCACUUGGAAUGAUACAUGCAGGAAUUAGUGCCACACAUUUUAACAAUUUUCUUAAUGUAUUGAAUAUACUUUCUGUGAAUUCAUCCACCAUGAAGAAAAAGGAGAAUGAAACCGGAAAGAAAAUAUUUGCAGUUGCAAAAGAAUCCUGUAAUUUAAAUCAGGAGAAGAAACAGCUUUAAACAUGGUUAAUAUAAUGAGUAAUUGGAAGGUUGAAGCCAGUUUUGUUGCAGAAUAGCAAAUGUUUGGUACUGCUUGGAACUAUGAAAGUAAUACAGGAAAAUUUAAAGAAUUAAGACUUUAACUUUAUUAAUAGAAAAGAAAUGCCCAAAUGUCAAGGUCAAAGUGGACCUUGUAGAUUAUAAACACCCUUGUGAAAUCUUUAGAAGCAACAGUCUUCUAUGGUGAGAGGAUGCCAUACUUUGCAAUGCU